rnacentral:rRNA from 1 species
AUGAGCUCCACGCGCUCACUGCUUCACCUCAUCCUGCUACUACUCGCAUACUACUACUCCACCCACACCACUGCCAACGGCGGCAAUGGAACCACAACCCAGUGCCUCCCUGACCAUUCUUCGUCUCUGCUCCAGCUGAAGCAUUCCUUCCACAACCCCAAACUCCCGUCGUGGCAGCAUGGCACAGACUGUUGCCACUGGGAGGGUGUUGGCUGCGACAGGGCCUCUGGUCAGGUGAUCACUUUGGACCUCGGUGAUCGUAACCUGCGGAGCACCAGUGGUCUCAGCCCAGCAAUAUUCAACCUCACCUCCCUCACAAAUCUCAGCCUCUCUGGUAACGACUUUGGCCUGACCAGCCUUCCUGGUUUUGGGUUUGAGCGGCUGAUUGAGCUUCUCAGUCUCGAUUUGUAUAAUGCGUGUUUUGCUGGUCAGAUACCUAUUGGAAUUGCCCACCUCAAGAAUUUGCGUUCCCUUGAUCUUUCCUAUAAUAAUCUGUAUCUUCAAGACCCAAGUUUCCAAACCGUCAUAGCAAACCUGAGCAAUCUGAGAGAGCUCUAUCUUGAUAGAGUGGGCAUCUUAAGUAGCAAAGCAAAUUGGUCCGUUGCUUUAGCAGACUCUGUUCCUCUACUACAGAAUAUUAGUUUGUCGGAGUGUGAACUAAGUAGUCCGAUUCACCAUUCAUUCUCCCGACUCCGUUUUCUAACGAUGAUCAACCUCGCAUAUAAUGAAAUUUCAGGACAGGUUCCUGGGUUCUUUGCGGAAUUCUCUUUCUUAAGAGACCUUGCCCUUGGGGAAAAUUAUUUUGAAGGGCAAUUUCCCACAAAGAUUUUCCAGCUAGAAAAUCUGAGUGUUCUUGAUUUGUCUAACAAUUUCGGUCUUACUGUGCACCUACCAGAUUUCUCAUCAGGAAGUAAUUUGGAAUAUUUAGAUCUGAGGGGUUCAAAUAUUUUCGGGGCCAUACCAGACCCUUUUGUCCAUCUCAAGUCCUUGAAAUUCUUGGGCCUUAGCAGCAUAGAACCUCCCGAGCAACCCACUACUUCCAUAGCUAACCUUACAUCCCUAAAUGGAUUGUGGCUCUCUGGAUCAGGAGUAGAGAAGCCAUAG